rnacentral:rRNA from 2 species
GACGAACCGUGCAAACGUUGUUCGGAAUCACUGGGCUUAAAGGGCGCGUAGGCGGGCCAGCCAGUCUGUGGUGAAAGCCUCCAGCUUAACUGGAGAAGUGCCGUGGAUACUGCUGGCCUCGAGGAGGGUAGGGGCAUCUGGAACGGUCGGUGGAGCGGUGAAAUGCGUUGAUAUCGACCGGAACUCCGGUGGCGAAGGCGAGGUGCUGGACCCUUUCUGACGCUGAGGCGCGAAAGCCAGGGGAGCAAACGGG